CAGACAUUGGCUGCCCUCAGCUACUGAAAAGAGUAAAUGAAAUGAGUUAUGGAGUAAUAAGGACAGUUAUGGUUGUGUUUGUUUACUGAGAGCUUCCCAUGAGCCAGGCAGGGCUUAGUCACCUUGUAUGACUUCAGAUUUUACAAAACCAGAGAGGUGACCACCUGGCCCACAGGCUAAUACAAAAUCGGAUGUUUUUCUCUCUGGAAAUGCUUCAACUGCAGGUUUCUGGACAGGAGGACACUAAACACAAUGAGCCAAAAUGCAAAUGGAUGUUUUGGAACUCUUCUUGCAAGCGUUGAGCUGGAUCCCGCAGAAGCUGGUGGCUCUGAAUUGAUGGAGUGAUAUACACCUGAAACAACAUCAUCACCAUCAUCAGAGAAGCUGCGCAUAGACUCUGGGUCAAAGUUAGGAGGCUGGCCAAGAGUCAGGGGAGC
ensembl:lncRNA